AGUAGCUAUGGCAUUACUAAAUUAUGCGAUGUCGUGCUUUAAGCUUCCAGUUGGCCUUUGUAAGGAGCUGGAAGCGGUCAUUGCUAAGUUUUGGUAGAUAAGGAAUAAGGAUAAGGGCGGUAUACAUUGGAUUUCUUGGCAAAAAAUGAAACGGAGGAAGAAGGCUAGAGGGUUUGGGUUUAGAGAUUUAUUGUUGUUUAACUUGGCUUAUUUAGCUAAGAUUGGCUAGCGAAUUUUACGUAACCCGAAGUCGUUGUUGGGAAGCAUUCUUAAAGCCAAGUAUUUCCCGGAUCAGCCAUUUAUGGAGGCUAGGCAAGGGAUGAGAUCUUCAUGGGGGUGGAAGGGUAUUAUCCAGGGGUGGAAGAUAAGCAUCAAUAUUUACUUCAUGGGGGUGGAAGGGUAUUAUCCAGGGGUGGAAGAUAAGCAUCAAUAUUUAUAACGAUCCUUGGUUGCCAGGGCCUCAUACAUAUAAGGUCAGGUCAAAACAUGUGGAUAGGCCUGUGAUAGGGGAUGCUUUGAUUGAUUCAGAGUGAGCUGUUUGAAGGGAAGAUCUUAUACGAAGGGUCUUUGAGGAAAAAAAAGGUAAUAUUAUUCUUAGGCUACCUAAGUUUAUUGGGGUGUUCAAACAAACUUAUUUGGCAUUAUUUUACUAAUGGUGUCUAUACGGUUCGAACGGGUUAUGGUGUUCCAUGGAGAUGAGGGAGAAUGGAAAGCUUGGGAGGAAAGAGAUAGGGGGAAGGAGUAAGCGUGAUGUGGGGUGAUCGCAGCUGGGGGGAUUUAUGGAGGUUAGAGGUUCCUAAUAAGUUAAAGUUGUUUAUAUGGCAGUGUUGUAACCAUUCAUUGGAGGUGCGAUGUAAUCUGAUUAAACGUCGUAUGCAAAUGGAUAGCAAAUGUGUUAUGUGUGGUGAAGCGGAGGAAAUGAAGCAUCACCUGUUUUUUCAAUGUCCGUUUAGUCAGGUGUUUUGGUACUGUUGUUUUUUGCAACUCGAUAUGGCAUCAGUGGUUGGUAGAGAUUUCUAUGAGUAUUGACAGAUGCUUUGUGGUAAGUUUUGGGACAACGAUCGACGAAUGGAGCUGUUGCAGGCGUGUGUGUUUGUCAUCUGGAGGAUAUGGAAGAACAGGAAUAAAAUGGUUUUUAAUGGUGUUUUGGUUAAUCCUUUAGAGAUGGUGAAUGUAAUGCGACGUAGUCUUUUAGAGUUUAGAGCUAGGUUAGGCAGCAAGAGGAGUGAUGAGGGCGAUGGUGCAGAAGGGAGUGGUGUUAGCGUUGCUGGGAAGCGUGUUCGAUGGAUGAGUCCUCCUUUUAGGGUACUGAAGAUCAAUUGUGAUGGUGCAUAGAGCGGGAAGAGCAAAGGUGGUUAUGGGUGGGUGCUAAGGGAUUUUGCUGGGUUGUUGCAAACGACUAGAGGGGAAGGGGGUUUGUUUUUUAACUUGGCAGUAAUGGCUGAAGUUCCUACGAUCCGAGCUGCUUUAUGGGUUUGUAUUGAGUUAGGCUGUAUGGAUGUGGAGCUUGAAUCGGAUUCUCAAGUUCUUAUUCGAAUGAUUAGGGGAGAGUAUGAUAUCGAUGCUACUUUGGACUGCUUUAUUCAUGAUAUUUGACUUCUGGUAUCGCAAUUAGGAAGGGUGAGGUUUGGGUUUGUUAAGCGGAGUGGCAAUACCGAUGCACAUGUCGUUGCCUCUUAUGUAGCCUCACAUGGAGGUGCUUUGCGGUGGGAUGCGAUUGGUCCAGAGUUCUUAUUUAAUAUUCUUGCUCAAGAUGUGUGCCAACUCAUGACAGAGCUCAAUCGGGCUAGUAGAAAAGAUAUGAUGAUGGUGGUGCUUGACUUUGUACAUCCUAAUCAACAAUGGCCGAGGAAAGAACACACCUUGGCCUGGCUUCUAGAACCUAAAGACAAGGUUACCUAAUUCACUGUGAAGUUUAGGAUCUUAUGCACUGAGUUUGGCUGUUUCAACUAUAUUUGUGAGAAUAGAGUGCGCCAAACCAGUAGUAGGUUAAGGGGCAAAGGUACCCAAAGGAGAUGAGUAUUUUUAUAAUGAACGUGGUUGGCCUUCAAAAUGCUGAACUAUGAAGUGCACCUGAGAGUAACCGAUCAUAGAGUACUUCACUUUGCCAAGCAACUAAUGAAGUGACCACUUUAGACCAAAGAAUUGAGAACUCUUCACAUACCAAGACUUGGAUAGAUAACCAACUAACCAAAAGCAGUAUUGUACUUGUCCAAAAUAAAGGUGUUCCUGAAUCGUCUGGUUGUACGGCUCUAGUCCUAUUUACUUAUCCACACGGAAGAUGCCUCCAAUUGUCAAAAUUACUUAUCCAUACUGAAUGUGUGUUGAUGGGAGGGUUAUGAUAAUUAGUAUUUUCUCAAGGGUGUGAGAAAUGUUUCGUGUAGAGCGAAGGUUUUCACAUGGAGAAUUUUUUAGUUGUUUGUUGAGUUGAAGAGAGCUUCACAUUGCAGAAUCUCUUCUAUUUAUAAAGAUGUGCUUCGUAAUAAACAAAUAUGUCGAUGCAGAGUCUUGAUGAGGCUGUGCCUACUCGGAAUUUACCUAGA